rnacentral:rRNA from 1 species
UACGUAGGUGGCAAGCGUUGUCCGGAUUUACUGGGCGUAAAGAGCGCGCAGGCGGUCGUUCAAGUCGCGUGUGAAAGCCCCCGGCUCAACUGGGGAGGGUCACGCGAUACUGAUCGACUCGAAGGCAGGAGAGGGAAGUGGAAUUCCCGGUGUAGUGGUGAAAUGCGUAGAUAUCAGGAGGAACACCGGUGGCGAAGGCGGAUCUCUGGGCCUUACCUGACGCUCAGGCGCGAAAGCUAGGGGAGCGAACUGG